rnacentral:snoRNA from 1 species
AAUCCGUGAUGAGGACACUUGAGUAAUAACUCCUUGAAACGCUCCCAUGUCUCGUAGAAUGAAUCUGUGACAACUCGAGUUUCCGACUUU